rnacentral:lncRNA from 1 species
UCAUCAAAUCAUCGAAGUUUUAUUUAGUUUUUAUCAAGUCUUGUAUCAAACAUCUAUCAAUAAAAUUGCAGGUGUGUUUUCCUUAUGACAGGCUAAAACUUUUAGUUUUCUCCCAAGGGAAGGCCAAGAAAUCCUUAUAGCUGCGUGUUGCUUAGAUUAUCAUAGCCUUGUUAUAAUUGGCUCUUGUGAUAAAAGUCCCUUGAACUUUUGAAAGCCCAGAAGGAGAGAGGCUGUUGUGUUCGGGAAUACCU